rnacentral:rRNA from 1 species
GACGAAGGGGGCUAGCGUUGUUCGGAAUUACUGGGCGUAAAGCGCGUGUAGGCGGUUGGCCCAGUCGGGUGUGAAAGCCUUGAGCUCAACUCAAGAAAUGCACUCGGUACUGGGUGACUAGAGGACCGGAGAGGAUAGUGGAAUUCCCAGUGUAGUGGUGAAAUACGUAGAGAUUGGGAAGAACACCAGUGGCGAAGGCGGCUAUCUGGACGGUUUCUGACGCUAAGACGCGAAAGCGUGGGUAGCAAACAGG